UACGUAGGGUGCAAGCGUUGUCCGGAAUUAUUGGGCGUAAAGAGCUCGUAGGCGGUUCGUCGCGUCGGCUGUGAAAACCUGAGGCUCAACCUCAGGCCUGCAGUCGAUACGGGCGGACUUGAGUACUGCAGGGGAGACUGGAAUUCCUGGUGUAGCGGUGAAAUGCGCAGAUAUCAGGAGGAACACCGGUGGCGAAGGCGGGUCUCUGGGCAUUACCUGACGCUGAGGAGCGAAAGUGUGGGGAGCAAACGGG
rnacentral:rRNA from 1 species